AGAGUUUGAUUAUGGCUCAGGCCGUUAGCUGGCGGCGUGCCUAACACAUGCAAGUCGAACGGACCUAUCCCGUCGAUGCCAUUUCAGUCAAGUCUAGGGAUGUUUUAGGGGCGGACGGGUGAGUAACGCGGGGGCAACCUGCCUUACACCGGGGGAUAAGACUUAGAAAUAGGUGCUAAUACCGCAUAACAGGAUAUCAUGCAUGUGUUUUCCUUGAAAACCGAGGUGGUGUAAGAUGGACCCGCGUCUGAUUAGCUUGUUGGCAGGGUAACGGCCUACCAAGGCGACGAUCAGUAGCCGGACUGAGAGGGUGGACGGCCACAUUGGGACUGAGACACGGCCCAGACUCCUACGGGAGGCAGCAGUGGGGAAUAUUGCACAAUGGGGGAAACCCUGAUGCAGCGACGCCGCGUGAGUGAAGAAGUAUUUCGGUAUGUAAAGCUCUGUCCGCAGGGAAGAAAAUGACGGUACCUGACCAAGAAGCCCCGGCUAACUACGUGCCCGCAGCCGCGGUAAUACACUAAGGGGCAAGCGUUAUCCGGAUUUACUGGGUGUGAAGGGAGCGCACACGGCAGUGCAAGUCCGGAGUGAAAGCCCGGGGCCCAACCCCGGUAAUGCUCUGGAGACUGUACGGCUGGAGUGCCGGAAAGGUAUGCGGAAUUCCUAAUGGAGCGCGGAGAUGCGUAUAUAUUUAUGAAGAACACCAUUGGCGAUAGCGGCUUACUGUACGCUUAAUGAGGUUGAGGAUCGAAAGCCGUGGGGAGCAAAAAUUAUUAUAAACCCUGGGUAUCCCCG
rnacentral:rRNA from 1 species